rnacentral:lncRNA from 1 species
AUAUAGAGGAGUUGAUUGCUGUUUUACUGCGCAAGCUCUUCAGCUAACUAAAGUUUAUAGCUUUACAGUUUCAGCUUGGAUGAGUGAGGGUAGAUGCGAAAGUUUACCCAGAACACGUCGAAUCAGCAAGCAAUAUGUAAUUAUAUCUGUAAGAAAUUCUUCCAGAUGUUAUUGGCCUUUGUAAAAAUUACC